rnacentral:piRNA from 1 species
UGAGGUCUCACUUGUGUUUUCCUGUGUA